rnacentral:rRNA from 1 species
GACGAACGCUGGCGGCGUGCUUAACACAUGCAAGUCGAACGGAAAGGCCCUGCUUUUGUGGGGUGCUCGAGUGGCGAACGGGUGAGUAACACGUGAGUAACCUGCCCUUGACUUUGGGAUAACUUCAGGAAACUGGGGCUAAUACCGGAUAGGAGCUCCUGCUGCAUGGUGGAGGUUGGAAAGUUUCGGCGGUUGGGGAUGGACUCGCGGCUUAUCAGCUUGUUGGUGGGGUAGUGGCUUACCAAGGCUUUGACGGGUAGCCGGCCUGAGAGGGUGACCGGCCACAUUGGGACUGAGGUACGGCCCAGACUCCUACGGGAGGCAGCAGUGGGGAAUAUUGCACAAUGGGCGGAAGCCUGAUGCAGCAACGCCGCGUGCGGGAUGACGGCCUUCGGGUUGUAAACCGCUUUCGCCUGUGACGAAGCGUGAGUGACGGUAAUGGGUAAAGAAGCACCGGCUAACUACGUG